CAUCACUACACCUUAUACACGUAGUGGGACUGGUUUUCUCUCUCCAAGUGCCUCUGCAAAAGCUGGUGUUGAAACUUUAAUGAGGUCGCUUUCGUCUGAAUGGGGUCGAUAUGGGUUGCGUUUUAAUUGCAUUGCACCUGGUCCAAUUGAAACGGAAGGGGCCUUUUCUCGAUUGGACCCAACUGGAAAAUUUGUUGAUGAAGCCCAUAAGCGCAUACCAGCUGGUCGAAUAGGAGAAGUUGGGAACUUGCAAAUUUAGCUGCAUAUUUGGUCUCGGAUUAUUCGUCAUGGAUUUCAGGGGAGACCAUUGCUCUAGAUGGCGGAAGCUACCGAUUUGGGCAGGAGAAUUUAAUGGAUUGGGAAAAAUAUCUCCGAGCAGUGGGAUCACUUGGAAACUUUAAUACGAGGCACUACAAACAAAGAUAAAGCACUCCGAAGAGCUAAACUAUAAUUAAUUUGACUAUUGCCCUUGAUGGUGGUGAGUAUCGAUACAUGGCAGGAGAGUUCAAUAUACUUGAUAGGGUGCAACCAGAUCAAUGGGACUUAUUAGAAAAAUUGAUUCGAGCCAGUAACAAGAAAAGCAAGGGAAGUGCUUGAUGGGUAGGUUCAGUGUAUGUACAAGAAAUUACAUUUUACUGCAAGUGUUUUUACAAAUGUUUGUGAGGUAGUAAUAUUUUAGAAAGUGCAGUAUUUUAUGCAAGAUUAUAUGGUGCAAAUAUAUUUUGUAUACUGUGUUAAGGAUUUCAUAAAUCAUGAAAAAAAAAAGAUGUACAUCAUCAUUAUCCUUCAGUCCUAUUUACAUAUCCUGAAUUGUAAUAAUUUUCUCAAUGGUAGGGGACCCUCUUUCAUACAGUUACUAUUGAAAGAUAUAUCAUUACUUGAUCUUGUAUAGAGCUGCUUUAAUUGACUACAUUAGUCUGCUUCAGCAGAUCUCUUGCUGGUGGGGUCGGAUUGUUUUUCAUGAUUAGGUCCCUGGUACUCUAUUCUGAGUAGAUGACGAGAGUUCUUGUUCUUUGUUGACUUCAGUAGGGGUCAUGCUCUCCAUAAUUUUCUUCUGUCUUCAACCUCAUGGUAUCAUGAGCACAUUUUUGCCUCAUAAAACUGCUUGAUUUUUUCCUGGUGGUGAGGCUUGGGUCUCUCUUUUUGUACGACUGAUCCAGCACUGCAUGGACUUCCUUGUCGAUUUGAGUACCGGCUAUUCAUGAGCAUCUGGGUGACUUGGUUGAGCUCUUGGAGACCUGCCAGGAUGAACAAUGGGUGUAGGCCCUUCUAACAUAGGCCCUGACCGUGGUGUUCUUCUUGGAGACGAAGACAUCGAGGAAAGGGAGCUGGCUGCUGUUGCUUAAUUCAACCAUAUAAUUGAGCAAAUUGCACUGCUGGAACAUGUGCCAAACAAAUUCAACCUCAUCCUCAUGGUCUGCUUGCACAAAAAUCUCAUUGAUGUAUCUUGCGUAUUUGCGGGGUUCGCCUGCAGACACCCUCCACCAUGCCCAUUUGGAAGUCUGCAAACAGGACAAUUGAGAGGGGAGCCCAUUGCAACACUGUCCUUCUGUCAGAACAUUUGGCCUUGAGUGGAGAAACGGGCCUUCUUCAUACAUAUCUCGACGAGGCCCGUAGGGAUACUUCUGGGAUGUUCAGUGUGGGUGCAAGGACGUUCCCGUAGAUGUGGUCUAUGAUGAUAUCAAUGGUUCCGUCGACAGUAACAUUCAUAAAUAGGGAUUCUACGUCCAAGGAGGCGAUAGUACCUGUCCCUGGGGUGUCUCGGAUUUCUUCAAGGCUGUAUCGGCUUGGAGCAUAGGGUGUCAAAAUGUGGUUGAAGUGCUUGGCCAGUCCAUAUAUGGGGGGGUUUGUGAUUAGCUGAUGAAGGGGGAGAAGGGUUUUACAUUCUUUUGCAUCUUUGUUGCCGUUUAGGUAACCAAGGCGCUAGUCCCAGAUGAUGGUAGCUGCAUUGACACUGGUAAUGAUUUCAUUAGCUUCUUUCUUGAUUUCUUCAGUGCUGUCAGACAAAGUGGCAUCCAGUUUCUUCCUGACUGCCAUGCUGGUAAGAUGUGCCACUGCCCUUCCUAUUGAAGCCAGUGUUUUCUCCUCUUUUUGCAUAUUUUCUCUUUAGUUUGAUUUCCUGUAUUGUGAAAUAGUGCAAUUUUGUGUUUGCACUAGUUUUGCUUUUGAAAAUGCAAAUCCAAAACUCAUUUAAGCCACCCAAUCCUAUGGCAGCUCACCAAACUGUAGUAAAAGUAUACCAGUUGUAAUUGACCCUCUAUGGUUAAAAAAAAAAAAAAAAAAAAAAAAAAAAACACACUACUUCACAAAACAUUCAAAAACAGAGGUAACAAUGCUUUCUAUAUGCUUCUCAGAAGUAUUUGUUAGAAAAAAGUUACACCUGAAAUCUGACAUUUAAAACCACUAUGUACUCAUUACCAUUUCAAUGUAUAUCAGGAUGCAAAGGCAAAAGUCUCCUAAUAGGUACUUUGAAUUUUAGAAGGGUUAAGCUUCAUGUACUAAAGUUUAUUUCACUCAUGAGUAUGUGCCCACCUUGUUCAAGGAUUCUGUAAUCACAGAUCUAAGGUGCAAAGAAGGAACAAUAGCCAGAAGCAUAGCACCACUGGCAUAAACAAUCAAGUUUUCUGUCCAGUCCUUGCCACAUAUCUCUGCCUUUACUUUUGACUGUAAUUCACUUAUGCAGUAAUUUUCCAGUAUCUAAAGUAAAUAUAUAGUAUAUAAUAAUGAACUAUAUGUUUUUUUUUUUUUAUUAAUAUAAUUUUUCUUUAUCUACCAUUUCAAAUAAUGGUUUUUACACUUAAUUCAGAGGUCUCAUUGUGUUUAAUCCCAGCAAGCGGAGUUCUUAGAUACUCUCUUU